ACUGUGGGUAGCGGAGAAAUUCCAAUCGAACCCGGAGAUAGCUGGUUCUCUCCGAAAUAGCUUUAGGGCUAGCCUUGAAAUAGAUUACCGGAGGUAAAGCACUGAAUUGGCUAGGGGCCGAGAGGUUACUGAACCUUAUCAAACUAAGAAUGCCGGAUAAUCGUUUUUCAGGAGUCAGACAGUGGGAGAUAAGUUUCAUUGUCAAAAGGGAAACAGCCCAGACCCACAGCUAAGGUCCCCAAGUAUAGUUAAGUGGAAAAGGAUGUGGAAUUGCACAGACAACCAGGAUGUUGGCUUAGAAGCAGCCACUCAUUAAAAGAGUGCGUAAUAGCUCACUGGUCGAGUGACUCUGCGCCGAAAAUUUAACGGGGCUAAACUAUACACCGAAGCUUGGGAUACAUCUAAUGUAUGGUAGGAGAGCGUUCUGUAUGGGGAGAAGUCGUAGCGAAAGCGGCGGUGGACUAUACAGAAGUGAGAAUGCCGGAAUAAGUAGCGAGAAUUAAGUGAGAAUCUUAAUGGCCGAAAGUCUAAGGUUUUUGGAGGAAGGUUCGUCCGCUCCAAGUAAGUCGGGAGCUAAGGUCAGGCCGAAAGGCGUAGCCGAUGCACAUACGGUUGAUAUUCCGUAACCAUCUGUAAUUUAAGCAAAGGGACACUUCAAAAGGGUGUGACCCGGGCGUUGGUUGACCCGGGCGUAAGGGACCGAAAUUAGAGUAGGGAAGCACACUUGGCUGAAGGCGAGAAAAGCUUUGCGUAUAGAAACAGAUGCCCGUACCGCAAACCGACACAGGUGGACAGGAAGAGAAUUCUAAGGCCAGCGGGAGAAGGGUAGUUAAGGAACUCGGCAAAUUGACUCCGUAACUUCGGAAUAAGGAGUGCUCGAAAGAGCCGCAGAGAAUAGGCCCAGGCGACUGUUUAGCAAAAACACAGGUCUCUGCCAAAUCGAAAGAUGAAGUAUAGGGGCUGACACCUGCCCGGUGCCGGAAGGUUAAGAGGAGGAGUGAGAGCUCCGAAUUGAAGCCCCGGUAAACGGCGGCCGUAACUAUAACGGUCCUAAGGUAGCGAAAUUCCUUGUCGGGUAAGUUCCGACCCGCACGAAUGGUGUAACGAUCUGGACACUGUCUCAACUACCCACCCGGCGAAAUUGUAGUACCGGUGAAGAUGCCGGUUACCUGCGGCAAGACGGAAAGACCCCAUGGAGCUUUACUGUAGCCUGAUAUUGGGUUUCGGAAAUCUAUGUACAGGAUAGGCGGGAGACUGGGAAACAUGAGCGUCAGCUUGUGUGGAGUCGAUGUUGGGAUACCGCCCUUAGGUUUCUGGAAUUCUAACCUGCGGCCGUGAAUCCGGUCGGGGGACAUUGUCAGGUGGGCAGUUUGACUGGGGCGGUCGCCUCCGAAAAGGUAACGGAGGCGCUCAAAGGUUAGCUCAGCACGGACGGAAACCGUGCCUCUGAGUGUAAACGCAAAAGCUAGCCUAACUGCGAGGGUGACGGCCCGAGCAGUAACGAAAGUUGGAGUUAGUGAUCCGGCGGUAUGUGAAUGGAAAUGCCGUCGCUCAACGGAUAAAAGCUACCCUGGGGAUAACAGGCUGAUCUCCCCCAAGAGUCCACAUCGACGGGGAGGUUUGGCACCUCGAUGUCGGCUCAUCACAUCCUGGGGCUGUAUUCGGUCCCAAGGGUUCGGCUGUUCGCCGAUUAAAGUGGUACGCGAGCUGGGUUCAGAACGUCGCGAGACAGUUCGGUCCCUAUCUGUCGUGGGCGCAGGAUAUUUGAGGAGCUCUGUCCUUAGUACGAGAGGACCGGGAUGGACGUACCUCUGGUGCACCAGUUGUCAUGCCAAUGGCACGGCUGGGCAGCUAUGUACGGAACGGAUAAACGCUGAAAGCAUCUAAGCGUGAAGCCGACUCCAAGAUUAGAUAUCCCAUCGUAUAACGAGUAAGACCCCUUGA
rnacentral:rRNA from 1 species